GGUGGGGUGUCUGAGUGGCCGAAAGAACUGGUCUUGAAAACCAGCGUACGUGAGUACCCAGGGUUCGAAUCCCUGCCCCACCG
rnacentral:tRNA from 1 species